rnacentral:tRNA from 1 species
GCUCUGGUAGUAUAGUCCGGUCAAGUAUGCCGGCCUCUCGAGUCGGCGACCCGGGUUCGAAUCCCGGCCAGAGCA